rnacentral:rRNA from 1 species
CCUACGGGGUGCAGCAGUGGGGAAUAUUGGACAAUGGGCGAAAGCCUGAUCCAGCCAUGCCGCGUGUGUGAAGAAGGCCUUCGGGUUGUAAAGCACUUUCAGUGGGGAAGAAAGCCUUGGGGCUAAUACCCUCGAGGAAGGACAUCACCCACAGAAGAAGCACCGGCUAACUCCGUGCCAGCAGCCGCGGUAAUACGGAGGGUGCGAGCGUUAAUCGGAAUUACUGGGCGUAAAGCGCGCGUAGGCGGUCUGAUAAGCCGGUUGUGAAAGCCCGGGGCUCAACCUGGGAACGGCAUCCGGAGAGGGAGGGCAAGGGGAGAGGGGAGGAGGGUGGAUUCCCGGGUGAAGGGGGGACAUGGGAGGAGACCGGGAGGAAGCCAAGGGGGGAGGGCGGCAUUCUGGAUGGACAGUGCCGCUGAGGUGCGAAAGGGUGGGUAGAAAACGGGAUUGGAUCCCCCGGUAGUC